rnacentral:rRNA from 1 species
AUUGAACGCUGGCGGCAGGCCUAACACAUGCAAGUCGAGCGGCUGCAGGGAGCUUGCUUCUGGAUUCAGCGGCGGACGGGUGGGUAAUGCCUAGGAAUCUGCCUGGUAGUGGUGUAUAAGGUGCUGAAACGGGCGCUAAUACCGCAAUCGUCCUGAGGGCGUAAGUGGGGGAUCUUCGGACCUCACGCCCUCAGGUGAUCCGAGGUCGGAUUAGCUAGUUGGUGGGGUAAAGGCCUACCAAGGCGACGAUCCGUAACUGGUCUGAGAGGAUGAUCAGUCACACUGGAACUGAGACACGGUCCAGACUCCUACGGGAGGCAGCAGUGGGGAAUAUUGGACAAUGGGCGAAAGCCUGAUCCAGCCAUGCCGCGUGUGUGAAGAAGGUCUUCGGAUUGUAAAGCACUUUUAGUGGGGAGGAAGAGCAGUAAGUUAAUACCUCGCUGUUUUGACGGUACCAACAGAAUAAGCACCGGCUAACUUCGUG